GGUUUUAUGUGUGGUCAAAAUUUCUGCCUUCUAAGCAGACGGUCACAGGUUCGAAUCCUGUCGCGAUCACUA
rnacentral:tRNA from 1 species